rnacentral:sRNA from 1 species
GACGACGACGACGACGACGACGACGACGACGACGACGACGACGACGACGACGACGACGACGACGACGACGACGACGACGACGACGACGACGACGACGACGACGACGACGACGACGACGACGACGACGACGACGACGACGACGACGACGACGACGACGACGACGACGACGACGACGACGACGACGACGACGACG